rnacentral:rRNA from 1 species
GACGAACGCUGGCGGCGUGCCUAAUACAUGCCAGUAGAACGCACAGUUUAUACCGUAGCUUGCUACACCAUAGACUGUGAGUUGCGAACGGGUGAGUAACGCGUAGGUAACCUGCCUGGUAGCGGGGGAUAACUAUUGGAAACGAUAGCUAAUACCGCAUAAUAUUGAUUAUUGCAUGAUAAUUAAUUGAAAGGUGCAAUUGCACCACUACCAGAUGGACCUGCGUUGUAUUAGCUAGUAGGUGAGGUAACGGCUCACCUAGGCGACGAUACAUAGCCGACCUGAGAGGGUGAUCGGCCACACUGGGACUGAGACACGGCCCAGUCUCCUACGGGAGGCAGCAGUAGGGAAUCUUCGGCAAUGGACGAAAGUCUGACCGAGCAACGCCGCGUGAGUGAAGAAGGUUUUCGGAUCGUAAAGCUCUGUUGUAAGAGAAGAACGGGUGUGAGAGUGGAAAGUUCACACUGUGACGGUAUCUUACCAGAAAGGGACGGCUAACUACGUG